GAUGAACGCUGGCGGCGUGCUUAACACAUGCAAGUCGAACGAAAAGAGGGAAAGAGCUUGCUCUUUCCGGAAUUGAGUGGCAAACGGGUGAGUAACACGUAAACAACCUGCCUUCAGGAUGGGGACAACAGACGGAAACGACUGCUAAUACCGAAUAAGUUCCAAGAGCCGCAUGGCCCAUGGAAGAAAAGGUGGCCUCUACCUGUAAGCUAUCGCCUGAAGAGGGGUUUGCGUCUGAUUAGCUGGUUGGAGGGGUAACGGCCCACCAAGGCGACGAUCAGUAGCCGGUCUGAGAGGAUGAACGGCCACACUGGAACUGAGACACGGUCCAGACUCCUACGGGAGGCAGCAGUGGGGAAUCUUCCGCAAUGGGCGAAAGCCUGACGGAGCAACGCCGCGUGAGUGAUGACGGCCUUCGGGUUGUAAAACUCUGUGAUCCGGGACGAAAAGGCAGAGUGCGAAGAACAAACUGCAUUGACGGUACCGGAAAAGCAAGCCACGGCUAACUACGUG
rnacentral:rRNA from 1 species